rnacentral:ncRNA from 2 species
UCGAAUCCGUUGGGGUGCCCAGCUAGGGCUGAGAGGCGAAAGCCGACCCAUCGAACCUGAUCCGGUUGAUACCGGCGGAGGGAACGGAGACGCGACCGGG